GGUAGCGUGGCCGAGUGGUCUAAGGCGCUGGUUUUAGGCACCAGACACUUCGGGGGCGUGGGUUCGAAUCCCACCGCUGCCA
rnacentral:tRNA from 1 species